rnacentral:rRNA from 1 species
UACGUAGGUGGCAAGCGUUGUCCGGAUUUACUGGGCGUAAAGCGCAUGUAGGUGGUUGGUAAAGUCAGGUGUUAAAUUUGUGGGCCUAACCCACAACCGCACUUGAUACUCACUAACUAGAGUACAGGAGAGGGAAACGGAACUCAUGGUGUAGCGGUGAAAUGCGUAGAUAUCAUGAGGAACACCAGUGGCGAAGGCGGUUUCCUGGCCUGUUACUGACGCUGAGGUGCGAAAGCAUGGGGAGC